UACGGAGGAUGCAAGCGUUAUCCGGAAUCAUUGGGCGUAAAGCGUCCGUAGGUGGCUUUUCAAGUCUGCCGUCAAAGACCGGGGCUUAACCCCAGAAAGGCGGUGGAAACUGAAUAGCUAGAGUGCAGUAGGGGUAGAGGGAAUUCCCGGUGUAGCGGUGAAAUGCGUAGAGAUCGGGAAGAACACCCGUGGCGAAAGCGGUUCUCUGGGACGGUACUGACGCUGAGACGCGAAAGCGUGGGGAGCGAACAGG
rnacentral:rRNA from 1 species